CCCGCUGUAGUGUUGCGGUAGCACGGCGAGACGCUUAGAACCCUCAAGUAGGAUCACGUACCUGCUUGGGCCUCACUUCCAUGUGGGCGCAGGGCCGGGUUCGACUCCCGGCUGCGGGG